UUGAUUAAAGGUCAUAAAUAAAUUUAUCUCAGGCUGGUCCCGCACAAUCAAGGGCUGGCUAAACUAGACACAGAGUUAGACACUAAAGUAGACUAAAACUAAAAGAUAGACACAAAGAAUAGGAAGAGGUUAUCUGUGUACAACAAGAAAAACACAACAGUAGCAAUGAUCAAUGAAGUAAUAAAUUUAUAAGAAGAUACCUUGAAUAACUGAAUUAUCAACAAACCAAGAUCUUGGAUGCUCAUAAAAUUUUAUAAUUUCGAAGAUUUGCUGCGAUUUUUCUCUCAACAGGAUGUGGAAGGGUUAUCAAACACUCAUUCUCACCAUAAAAGUCACUAUCUAACAAAUAAACAGUAAGAAACAAUUAACUAUUCUGUAAAAUGUCAACAUUUCUUCGCAUUUCACUUACCG